rnacentral:rRNA from 1 species
AGCGAACGCUGGCGGCAGGCUUAACACAUGCAAGUCGAGCGGGCGUAGCAAUACGUCAGCGGCAGACGGGUGAGUAACGCGUGGGAACAUACCUUUUGGUUCGGAACAACACAGGGAAACUUGUGCUAAUACCGGAUAAGCCCUUACGGGGAAAGAUUUAUCGCCGAAAGAUUGGCCCGCGUCUGAUUAGCUAGUUGGUGAGGUAACGGCUCACCAAGGCGACGAUCAGUAGCNGGUCUGAGAGGAUGAUCAGCCACAUUGGGACUGAGACACGGCCCAAACUCCUACGGGAGGCAGCAGUGGGGAAUAUUGGACAGUGGGCGCAAGCCUGAUCCAGCCAUGCCGCGUGAGUGAUGAAGGCCCUAGGGUUGUAAAGCUCUUUUGUGCGGGAAGAUAAUGACGGUACCGCAAGAAUAAGCCCCGGCUAACUUCGUGCCAGCAGCCGCCGUAAG